AUCCUUUUGUGGUUUAUAGGAUGAUGAAUGGGGUUUUCACACUAUUAUGUCAGAUGUGCCUCCCCCCCCGAUAUUGUAAAAUGUCAACAUGUUACAUUAGAAA
ensembl:snoRNA